AAAUUUGAGAGGAUCUGCUCCUAGUACGAGAGGACCAGAGUGGACGAACCUCUGGUGUACCGGUUGUGACGCCAGUCGCAUCGCCGGGUAGCUAUGUUCGGAAGGGAUAACCGCUGAAAGCAUCUAAGCGGGAAGCCUACCUCAAGAUAAGAUUUCCCUAGGACUUUAUGUCCUCUAAAGAGCCGUUCGAGACUAGGACGUUGAUAGGUUGGAUGUGGAAGCAUAGUGAUAUGUGAAGCUGACCAAUACUAAUUGCUCGUGAGGCUUGACUAUACAACACCCA
rnacentral:rRNA from 1 species